AGAGUUUGAUUCUGGCUCAGGAUGAACGCUAGCUACAGGCUUAACACAUGCAAGUCGAGGGGCAGCAGGACGAUAGCUUGCUAUUGUUGCUGGCGACCGGCGCACGGGUGAGUAACGCGUAUCCAACCUUCCCCUUAGUAGGGCAUAGCCCGGUGAAAAUCGGAUUAAUACCCUAUGUUGUGUCAUGAGGACAUCUGAAUAACACUAAAGAUUUAUCGCUAAGGGAUGGGGAUGCGUCCGAUUAGGUAGUCGGCGGGGUAACGGCCCACCGAGCCCUCGAUCGGUAGGGGUUCUGAGAGGAAGGUCCCCCACACUGGUACUGAGACACGGACCAGACUCCUACGGGAGGCAGCAGUGAGGAAUAUUGGUCAAUGGGCGAGAGCCUGAACCAGCCAAAGUAGCGUGCAGGAUGACGGCCCUAUGGGUUGUAAACUGCUUUUAUACGGGGAUAAAGUGAGGGACGUGUCCCUUAUUGUAGGUACCGUAUGAAUAAGGACCGGCUAAUUCCGUGCCAGCCGCCGC
rnacentral:rRNA from 1 species